CAAUAGCGUAUAUUAAAGUUGUUGCAGUUAAAAAGCUCGUAGUUGAAUUUCUGUCAGGAGUGACCGGGCCUUUGGAUGAACUUCCAUUGUUUUUUGCUCUGUUUGUCAUCUCUAGACAUCCUGAAAUAUUUUUUAAAAAUAUUUCUCUUUUACUGUUAGCAAAAUAGAGUGUUCCAAGCAAAGCGUAGUUUUGAAUACAUUAGAAUGGAAUAAUAAGAUAGGACUUUGGUGCUAUCUUGUUGGUUUGCACACCAAGGUAAUGAUUAAUAGGGACAGUUGGGGGUAUUCGUAUUUAAUUGUCAGAGGUGAAAUUCUUGGAUUUAUGAAAGACGAACUACUGCGAAAGCAUUUACCAAGGAUGUUUUCAUUAA
rnacentral:rRNA from 1 species